GACGAACGCUGGCGGCGUGCUUAACACAUGCAAGUCGAACGCUGAAGCUUGGUGCUUGCUCUGGGUGGAUGAGUGGCGAACGGGUGAGUAAUACGUGAGUAACCUGCCCUUGACUCUGGGAUAAGCCUGGGAAACUGGGUCUAAUACUGGAUAUGACAUGCCACUGCAUGGUGGUGUGUGGAAAGGGUUUUACUGGUUUUGGAUGGGCUCACGGCCUAUCAGCUUGUUGGUGGGGUAAUGGCCUACCAAGGCGACGACGGGUAGCCGGCCUGAGAGGGUGACCGGCCACACUGGGACUGAGACACGGCCCAGACUCCUACGGGAGGCAGCAGUGGGGAAUAUUGCACAAUGGGCGGAAGCCUGAUGCAGCGACGCCGCGUGGGGGAUGACGGCCUUCGGGUUGUAAACCUCUUUCAGCACGGAGAAGCGAGAGUGACGGUACGUGCAGAAGAAGCGCCGGCUAACUACGUG
rnacentral:rRNA from 1 species